UUGUGGCCCCGUGGACUUAAGCAUAUCAAUAAGCGGAGGAAAAGAAACUAACAAGGAUUCCCCUAGUAACUGCGAGUGAAGCGGGAAAAGCUCAAAUUUAAAAUCUGGCGGUCUUUGGCUGUCCGAGUUGUAGUCUGGAGAAGUGCUUUCCGCGCUGGACCGUGUACAAGUCUCUUGGAACAGAGCGUCAUAGAGGGUGAGAAUCCCGUCUUUGACACGGACUACCAGUGCUUUGUGAUGCGCUCUCAAAGAGUCGAGUUGUUUGGGAAUGCAGCUCAAAAUGGGUGGUGAAUUCCAUCUAAAGCUAAAUAUUGGCGAGAGACCGAUAGCGAACAAGUACCGUGAGGGAAAGAUGAAAAGCACUUUGGAAAGAGAGUUAAACAGUACGUGAAAUUGCUGAAAGGGAAACGCUUGAAGUCAGUCGCGUUGUCCAGAACUCAGCCUUGCUUUUGCUUGGUGCACUUUCUGGAUAACGGGCCAGCAUCAAUUUUGACCGUCGGAAAAGGGCUGGAGUAAUGUGGCACCUUUUGGUGUGUUAUAGACUCUAGUCGCAUACGGCGGUUGGGAUUGAGGACCGCAGCGCGCCGCAAGGCAGGGGUUCGCCCACUUUCGCGCUUAGGAUGCUGGCAUAAUGGCUUUAAACGACCCGUCUUGAAACACGGACCAAGGAGUCUAACAUGCCUGCGAGUGUUUGGGUGGAAAACCCGAGCGCGUAAUGAAAGUGAAAGUUGAGACCUCUGUCGUGGAGGGCAUCGACGCCCGGACCUGACGUUCUCUGAAGGAUCCGCGGUAGAGCAUGUAUGUUGGGACCCGAAAGAUGGUGAACUAUGCCUGAAUAGGGUGAAGCCAGAGGAAACUCUGGUGGAGGCUCGUAGCGAUUCUGACGUGCAAAUCGAUCGUCAAAUUUGGGUAUAGGGGCGAAAGACUAAUCGAACCAUCUAGUAGCUGGUUCCUGCCGAGCCCCCUAGCGGGAGUAUAA
rnacentral:rRNA from 1 species